AUCCAGCGGACCAUUUUCAGCCAGCAAUCCUCAGGCAAGACUGCAAUCCAUGGCACAAUCAAUCAUGUUUCAUCCUGCAGCAAGCUGCUGGUCUUAAUUUCUGAAAAAAAAUACGCUCAACUCAUACUUGAUUUUUGUUUCAACACAUGUGGCUUUCAGGAUCAAUCGAGGAAGAACAGGAGAUUCAUGGUGUACGUGCACUCCAAGGGCAUGAUCGUGGACGACGAGUACGUGAUCAUCGGGUCGGCCAACAUCAACCAGAGGUCCAUGGAAGGGACCCGGGACACCGAGAUCGCCAUGGGCGCGUACCAGCCCCAGUACACCUGGGCCAACAUGCUCUCUGCCCCCCGCGGACAGGCAACCAAUCCCCUCAAUCAAACCCCCAAUUCGACAGAUCACACCUCUAGUAGGGUUCGUGCGCAACCCCCGGCUGAAUCCACACUCUCUUUUGUACCUGCAGAUCUACGGGUACAGGAUGUCGCUGUGGGCGGAGCACAUGGGGGCGGUGGAGGAGGGGUUCGAGCGGCCGGAGAGCGUGGAGUGCGUGCGGCGGGUGCGGGGGAUCGGGGAGGAGAACUGGAGAAGGUUCGUGUCGGAGGAGGAGGAGGUGAGGGAGUUGAGGGGGCACCUGCUCAAGUACCCCGUCGGCGUCGACCGAGAGGGGAAGGUGGCGCCGCUGCCCGGCUGCGCCGCGUUCCCGGACCUCGGCGGCAACAUCUGCGGCUCCUUCCUC
rnacentral:lncRNA from 1 species